ensembl:lincRNA
UGUUGUUUGGGGGCUUCUGCCUCGGCGCCGCGGGUGCCACCUCCCGGGACGCUGCCCACGGCGUCCCCGGUUGCGAUCAAACAAAUAAUAGAAGUCUGUUGAAGCUUUGUCCUGACCUAUCCUGGAAGUAGAAGAAUACUCUGGAGAAAGGAGCAUUGCAAGCACAAAGAAUAAGCUUCCUCAAUCCUGAGAGAGAGAAUUAAAGUCUAACUCUCCAAAUGUAAGUCAUCUGUACUCUACAUAUUUUUCAUCCUUCAGUUUUUAUUGCU